GAAAAAAGCCUGAUAUGAAAAACUGAAGCAGAAAAAAAUCCACAUAUAGUCCACUGAAAAAACUCUCAUGGACUUCUGGAGAUUUUAUUAGAAGAAACACUUUAAUAGUUCCCUCAGGUAACUGAUAGUCAUUGUUCAACAUAAACAAGUGAUGAGCUUUGGAUGCUACAAGCUGUAGUGAAGUGCUGGACGUGAUAAACCAAUUUCUGUUUCUUUUGAUGCAAAUCUUCUGUUUUUCUAUGUCUCCCUUGACUUGAAAACCUUCCAGAGCUUUAGCAGAAAUUAAGCAGAGUGUGAAGAAUCCUUUGAUUAAAGACAUUAAUCAGUAUUUGGAAAAAACUUACAUGAUUUGUGAAGAUUAUGCAAGAAGGGAAUGCCAGAAUUCAGCUUCAAAGCAACUAAUAUUAGGGAUGAUUUUUUUAGGAAAGAUCAUAUAAAGAAUGGAAAGGAAACAGUGAAACACAAAAAAGGGAAACAAGACAGACUGGGAUGCACUUGGCAAAGCAUCACUUGUCCACAGCAGCUGUGUAUGUAAUUGUAUUAAAGAUGUCAUCAGCUUCAUCUAAAGAGAAUAGGCAUUUUUCCUUGUUGCCAGCUGAAAUUCA
rnacentral:lncRNA from 1 species